UACGAAGGGGGCUAGCGUUGUUCGGAAUUACUGGGCGUAAAGCGCACGUAGGCGGAUACUUAAGUCAGGGGUGAAAUCCCGGGGCUCAACCCCGGAACUGCCUUUGAUACUGGGUAUCUCGAGUCCGGAAGAGGUGAGUGGAAUUCCGAGUGUAGAGGUGAAAUUCGUAGAUAUUGGGAAGAACACCGGUGGCGAAGGCGGCUCUCUGGACCGAUACUGACGCUGAGGCGCGAAAGCGUGGGGAGCAAACAGG
rnacentral:rRNA from 1 species